AGCGAACGCUGGCGGCAUGCUUAACACAUGCAAGUCGCACGGGCAGCAAUGUCAGUGGCGGACGGGUGAGUAACGCGUAGGAACGUGUCCUGAGGUGGGGGACAACCCCGGGAAACUGGGGCUAAUACCGCAUAUGGGCUGAGGCCCAAAGCCGAGAGGCGCCUUUGGAGCGGCCUGCGUCCGAUUAGGUAGUUGGUGGGGUAAAGGCCUACCAAGCCUGCGAUCGGUAGCUGGUCUGAGAGGACGACCAGCCACACUGGGACUGAGACACGGCCCAGACCCCUCCGGGAGGCAGCAGGGGGGAAUAUUGGAAAAUGGGCGAAAGCCUGACCCAGCAUUGCCGGGGGGGGAAAGAGGGUCUUCGUCUGGAAAACCCUUUUGGAGGGGGAGGAUGAUGGGGUUACCGGAAAAAAAGCCCCCGCCUACCUCGGUC
rnacentral:rRNA from 1 species